UGGGGAAUUUUGGACAAUGGGCGAAAGCCUGAUCCAGCCAUGCCGCGUGCGGGAAGAAGGCCUUCGGGUUGUAAACCGCUUUUAGCCGGGAAGAAAAGGCAGGGACUAAUACUCCCUGUUCUUGACGGUACCGGCGGAAUAAGCACCGGCUAACUACGUGCCAGCAGCCGCGGUAAUACGUAGGGUGCGAGCGUUAAUCGGAAUUACUGGGCGUAAAGCGUGCGCAGGCGGUUCGUUAAGUUCGUCGUGAAAGCCCCGGGCUCAACCUGGGAACUGCGAUGGAAACUGGCGGGCUUGGAGUGUGGCAGAGGGGGGUGGAAUUCCGCGUGUAGCAGUGAAAUGCGUAGAGAUGCGGAGGAACACCGAUGGCGAAGGCAGCCCCCUGGGCCAACACUGACGCUCAGGCACGAAAGCGUGGGGAGCAAACAGGAUUAGAUACCCCCGUAGUCC
rnacentral:rRNA from 1 species